UAAGGAAUAUUGGUCAAUGGGCGGAAGCCUGAACCAGCCAUGCCGCGUGCAGGAAGACGGCCCUACGGGUUGUAAACUGCUUUUAUACGGGAAUAAACCUGCCUAUGUAUAGGUAGCUGAAUGUACUGUAAGAAUAAGGAUCGGCUAACUCCGUGCCAGCAGCCGCGGUAAUACGGAGGAUCCAAGCGUUAUCCGGAUUUAUUGGGUUUAAAGGGUGCGUAGGCGGCCAAUUAAGUCAGGGGUGAAAGACGGUAGCUUAACUAUCGCAGUGCCUUUGAUACUGAUUGGCUUGAAUGUACUUGAGGUAGGCGGAAUGUGACAAGUAGCGGUGAAAUGCAUAGAUAUGUCACAGAACACCAAUUGCGAAGGCAGCUUACUAAAGUAUGAUUGACGCUGAGGCACGAAAGCGUGGGGAUCAAACAGGAUUAGAUACCCCCGUAGUCC
rnacentral:rRNA from 1 species